AGCAGCCGCGGUAAUUCCAGCUCCAAUAGCGUAUAUUAAAGUUGCUGACAGUUAAAAAGCUCGUAGUUGAAUUUCGGGACUAAUAUGUUGGUCGUGCCUCGGUACGUACUGAUAUUUUUGGUUUCUCCCUUCUGACGAACCUUGAUGUCAAUUUAAUUUGGUGUCUUGGGAAAUCAGGACUGUUACUUUGAAAAAUUGAGUGUUUAAAGCAGGCUCACGCUUGAAUACAUUAGCAUGGAAUAAUGAAAUAGGACGUUUGAUUCUAUUUUGUUGGUUUCUAGGAUUGACGUAAUGAUUAAUAGGG
rnacentral:rRNA from 1 species